rnacentral:lncRNA from 1 species
AACUUCUAGACUCAAGCAAUCCUCCCCACUCAGCCUCCCAAGUACCUGAGACUACAGGCACACACCACUGCACCCAGCUCCUAUUUCUUUUUUUUAUUUUUUAAUGUUGGUUGUGAUCUACUAAAUUUAUUUUCACAGUCCACUAAUGGGUCAUGACCCACUGUUUGGAAAACACUGUCUUAGUGUGUUUUGUUUAAACUUUCCCACUGAAGUAUCCUGAGCAGCAGGGGAGUGGGAAACUGUGAGAUGGGGGCAGGUUUGAGAGAGGGACUCAGAAGGCCAGCUUCAAGUGAAAAAUUUAUUUGAAGUUUCUUUAUUUCACCAUUAAAAUGUACUCGUCUUUAUCCUUAGACAGCAAACAGGACCAUUAGUUUUCUUUAAAAGGUUUUAAAUCUCCCAUUUCAAUAAGAAGAUGCUCUAGGGACACAUGCUGUGUUAUUGUGGGGCUACCUCUCCUGCUGCCUGCUACCUGGUGCUGCAGAGGGUAUGCAUGCAGCAAUCUGCAAAGCAGGCCAUCUUGGAUGAUAAAUUGACCUCUAGAUAGUAUGGGAGCUUACUGUGGUCUCAUGGCUGCCUGACAAUUAUUCAGCACAGGUCCUGUGGACGAUCUCACCAGGAUGAGACAUUACUCUUUCGUCAACAUGGCAUGUCUGAUUAUGAGCCCUGUGCCUUUUUCUAGCAUUUCUGGAUCUGAUGGCUGGAAAGCUACUAUGCUACCUAUUGUCUCCAUCCAUAAACCAGACCCUGUAACUAAGGUAGAUUUAAUCAGAACGCCUUAUGGUAGUGGAAAAAAAAAAAGGAUCCUACAAUUUGAAAAGCUGAGCCUCUGCUUUAUUUUUCUUUUGACACAGGGUCUCGCCCUGUCACACAGGCGGGAGUACAGUGGCACAACCAUGGCUCCUUACAGUCUCAACCCCCUGGGUUCAAAUGAUCCUCCCACCUCGGCCUCUCGAGUAGCUAGGAUCAUAGGUUUGUGCCACUGUGCCCAACUAAUUUUUUAUUUUUAUUAUUUGUAGAGAUAGGGUCUUGUUUUGUUGCCGAGGCUGAUCUCAAACUUCUGGGCUCAAGCAAUCCUCCUGCCUUGGCCUCCCAAAGUGCUGGGAUUACAGACAUGAGCCACUGUGCCUGACUGAGCCUCUUCUUUUUCAAGGUACAAGUAGUUUCCUUUAUUUUGAGAUGAAAAUAAUAUAGUACAUGUGUGGAAAUCUGGACUUUGGAAAGUUGAACA